rnacentral:sRNA from 1 species
UGACGAUUCAAACUGUCGUCCGCGAUC